rnacentral:rRNA from 1 species
UACAGAGGUGGCGAGCGUUAUUCGGAAUUAUUGGGCGUAAAGGGCGCGUAGGCGGCUUGACAAGUCCCGGGUGAAAUCCCUCGGCUCAACCGAGGAACUGCCUUGGAAACUGUCUGGCUUGAGGCCGGGAGAGGGUAGUGGAAUUCCCAGUGUAGCGGUGAAAUGCGUAGAUACUGGGAGGAACACCGGUGGCGAAGGCGGCCCACUGGCUCGAUACUGACGCUGAGGUGCGAAAGCGUGGGGAGCAAACAGG